rnacentral:rRNA from 1 species
GAUCAAGCGCGAAGCUCAUCACCACACUAGUGCGACGCAGAUCCGGGGGCGCCCCCAGGGGUGGAGGGGGGAACACCGUGUUUGGAGAGAUGGGAGAAAUACUCUUCCAUCAUCAAAAGUGUUUCUGAGGCGCAUGCCGGCUUGAAACAUCGAAGGAGAGUAAUAGGAGUUGGGGUCCAGGGUGGGGGGGGACCUCCCCACAAAUGAGGUCUUUCAUCCAAUGUCUCCUGGUUCAAAAUCCCAACCGGGUGCCCCCAGAGAGGGCGUUUCUUACCUGUAGCGGCGGCUCUCAUUAAUUCGAGGAAAGGGGGCUCAUUAGAAAUCCCCAUUUCACCAACCAAGGUUGGGCCGGUUAAGUUUUUUUGGGGGAAACGGAGGCGGCCAUUUUGCCGGGGGGAAACCCGGCAAUAAAAAGAGAGGAAUAUUUGAUUCUCAGACUUGAUUUGAUCUGGUUAAGAAAAUAGGGGACCCAUCGAAUUACGGGAGGGGGUAUUUCCUUGCCUCCCUUUGGACGGGAAAAUAUUUGUGAGCGGGGGGGAAAGUCCCUUACUCCUUUCUUUGUGAAAAAUGUGAGCCACAAAGAAAUUUUUUUUCCAGGUUUUUGGAAAAAAACGUCCGAAACCAAGACCGGACCCUACCUUACAACCCGGGGGACGCUCCGGGUUGGGGUUAAAAAUGUGGGGCCGGGAUUUUUUCUUGUGGCAGAAAAGCUUUGGAACCGGGGGCCCCCACCCGUUUUGGGAAGUAAAAGUCGUAACAAGGUCUCCGUAGGUGAACCUGCGGAGGGAUCAUUACAAGUGACCCCGGUUUUACCACCGGGAUGUUCAUAACCCUUUGUUGUCUGACUCUGUUGCCUCCGGGGCGACCCUGCCUUCGGGCGGGGGCUCCGGGUGGACACUUCAAACUCUUGCGUAACUUUGCAGUCUGAGUAAAUUAAUUAAUAAAUUAAAACUUUUAACAACGGAUCUCUUGGUUCUGGCAUCGAUGAAGAACGCAGCGAAAUGCGAUAAGUAAUGUGAAUUGCAGAAUUCAGUGAAUCAUCGAAUCUUUGAACGCACAUUGCGCCCCCUGGUAUUCCGGGGGGCAUGCCUGUUCGAGCGUCAUUUCACCACUCAAGCCUCGCUUGGUAUUGGGCAACGCGGUCCGCCGCGUGCCUCAAAUCGACCGGCUGGGUCUUCUGUCCCCUAAGCGUUGUGGAAACUAUUCGCUAAAGGGUGUUCGGGAGGCUACGCCGUAAAACAACCCCAUUUCUAAGGUGACCUCGGAUCAGGUGAGACAAG